rnacentral:rRNA from 1 species
CCUACGGGUGGCAGCAGUGGGGAAUAUUGGACAAUGGGCGAAAGCCUGAUCCAGCCAUGCCGCGUGUGUGAAGAAGGCCUUCGGGUUGUAAAGCACUUUCAGUGGGGAAGAAAGCCUUGGGGCUAAUACCCUCGAGGAAGGACAUCACCCACAGAAGAAGCACCGGCUAACUCCGUGCCAGCAGCCGCGGUAAUACGGAGGGUGCGAGCGUUAAUCGGAAUUACUGGGCGUAAAGCGCGCGUAGGCGGUCUGAUAAGCAGGUUGUGAAAGCCCCGGGCUCAACCUGGGAACGGCAUCCGGAACUGUCAGGCUAGAGUGCAGGAGAGGAAGGUAGAAUUCCCGGUGUAGCGGUGAAAUGCGUAGAGAUCGGGAGGAAUACCAGUGGCGAAGGCGGCCUUCUGGACUGACACUGACGCUGAGGUGCGAAAGCGUGGGUAGCAAACAGGAUUAGAUACCCCAGUAGUC